rnacentral:rRNA from 1 species
GGCCUACGGGACGCAGCAGUGAGGAAUAUUGGUCAAUGGGCGGGAGCCUGAACCAGCCAAGCCGCGUGAGGGAAGAAGGUACAGCGUAUCGUAAACCUCUUUUGUCAGGGAACAAAGGCGGGGACUAGUCCCCGGAUGAGGGUACCUGAAGAAAAAGCAUCGGCUAACUCCGUGCCAGCAGCCGCGGUAAUACGGAGGAUGCGAGCGUUAUCCGGAUUUAUUGGGUGUAAAGGGCGUGUAGGCGGGAGCGCAAGUCAGAUGUGAAAACUCAGGGCUCAACCCUGAGCCGGCAUUUGAAACUGUGU